rnacentral:rRNA from 1 species
CAACUUUCAACAAUGGAUCUCUUGGUUCUCACAUCGAUGAAGAACGCAGCGAAUUGCGAUAUGUAAUGUGAAUUGCAGAAUUCAGUGAAUCAUCGAAUCUUUGAACGCACAUUGCACCCUCUGGUAUUCUGGAGGGUAUGCCUGUUUGAGUGUCAUUA